rnacentral:rRNA from 1 species
CAGGCUUAACACAUGCAAGUCGAGGGGCAGCAUGGUCUUAGCUUGCUAAGGCCGAUGGCGACCGGCGCACGGGUGAGUAACACGUAUCCAACCUGCCGUCUACUCUUGGACAGCCUUCUGAAAGGAAGAUUAAUACAAGAUGGCAUCAUGAGUCCGCAUGUUCACAUGAUUAAAGGUAUUCCGGUAGACGAUGGGGAUGCGUUCCAUUAGAUAGUAGGCGGGGUAACGGCCCACCUAGUCUUCGAUGGAUAGGGGUUCUGAGAGGAAGGUCCCCCACAUUGGAACUGAGACACGGUCCAAACUCCUACGGGAGGCAGCAGUGAGGAAUAUUGGUCAAUGGGCGAGAGCUUGAACCAGCCAAGUAGCGUGAAGGAUGACUGCCCUAUGGGUUGUAAACUUCUUUUAUAAAGGAAUAAAGUCGGGUAUGGAUACCCGUUUGCAUGUACUUUAUGAAUAAGGAUCGGCUAACUCCGUGCCAGCAGCCGCGGUAAUACGGAGGAUCCGAGCGUUAUCCGGAUUUAUUGGGUUUAAAGGGAGCGUAGAUGGAUGUUUAAGUCAGUUGUGAAAGUUUGCGGCUCAACCGUAAAAUUGCAGUUGAUACUGGAUAUCUUGAGUGCAGUUGAGGCAGGCGGAAUUCGUGGUGUAGCGGUGAAAUGCUUAGAUAUCACGAAGAACUCCGAUUGCGAAGGCAGCCUGCUAAGCUGCAACUGACAUUGAGGCUCGAAAGUGUGGGUAUCAAACAGGAUUAGAUACCCUGGUAGUCCACACGGUAAACGAUGAAUACUCGCUGUUUGCGAUAUACUGCAAGCGGCCAAGCGAAAGCGUUAAGUAUUCCACCUGGGGAGUACGCCGGCAACGGUGAAACUCAAAGGAAUUGACGGGGGCCCGCACAAGCGGAGGAACAUGUGGUUUAAUUCGAUGAUACGCGAGGAACCUUACCCGGGCUUAAAUUGCAGAUGAAUUACGGUGAAAGCCGUAAGCCGCAAGGCAUCUGUGAAGGUGCUGCAUGGUUGUCGUCAGCUCGUGCCGUGAGGUGUCGGCUUAAGUGCCAUAACGAGCGCAACCCUUGUUGUCAGUUACUAACAGGUUCCGCUGAGGACUCUGACAAGACUGCCAUCGUAAGAUGUGAGGAAGGUGGGGAUGACGUCAAAUCAGCACGGCCCUUACGUCCGGGGCUACACACGUGUUACAAUGGGGGGUACAGAGGGCCGCUACCACGCGAGUGGAUGCCAAUCCCCAAAACCUCUCUCAGUUCGGACUGGAGUCUGCAACCCGACUCCACGAAGCUGGAUUCGCUAGUAAUCGCGCAUCAGCCACGGCGCGGUGAAUACGUUCCCGGGCCUUGUACACACCGCCCGUCAAGCCAUGGGAGCCGGGGGUACCUGAAGUGCGUAACCGCGAGGAGCGCCCUAGGGUAAAACUGGUGACUGGG